AAUAUUGGUCAAUGGAGGCAACUCUGAACCAGCCAUGCCGCGUGCAGGAAGAAUGCCCUAUGGGUUGUAAACUGCUUUUAUACAGGAAGAAACUUAUCCACGUGUGGAUAACUGUCGGUACUGUACGAAUAAGGACCGGCUAACUCCGUGCCAGCAGCCGCGGUAAUACGGAGGGUCCAAGCGUUAUCCGGUAUCAUUGGGUUUAAAGGAUCCGUAGGCGGGCGAUUAAGUCAGAGGUGAAAUCCCACAGCUCAACUGUGGAACUACCUUUGAUAGAUAGUUGUCUUGAGUUACAGUGAAGUAGAUAGAAUAUGUAGUGUAGCGGUGAAAAACAUAGAUAUUACAGAGAAUACCACUAGCGAAGGCAGAGUAUUAACUGUUAACUGACGAUAAGGGACGAAAGCGUGGGGAGCGAACAGGAUUAGAUACCCUGGUAGUCCACGC
rnacentral:rRNA from 1 species